GGAGAUGUAGCUUCAGUGGUAGAACACUUGCCUAGCAAGCACAAGGCCCUGAGUUCAAACCUCAGUAUUGCCA
rfam:Dipodomys ordii contig_73415, whole genome shotgun sequence.